rnacentral:rRNA from 1 species
CCUGGUGUCUAUGGUGCGGUGGAACCACGCUGACCCUUCCCGAACUCAGUUGUGAAACGCUGUAACGGCAACAAUACUAUGGGGGUGACUCUAUGGGAAGAUAGCUCGAUGCCAGGU